GCGGGGGCCCGGUGGGCGGUGGAAUUCCCUUUCGCACAGAAUGGACCAAGGCCCACGCCUCCCAAACUUCCAUCGCCAAAUAACUAGAGCUGCCAUCAGCAACCUGAGGUGCACGUGAGCAGCCCUGGGCUGACUCCUAUAGCAACUCAGCAGACGACACCAAGGCAGCCUUUCCAUUCAGGGAAUGCUGCUGCUGCCGCCACAGGGUUGGGAGACUGCAGGCCAGGAGUGAUGGGCCAGCCAACAUAGGCCUAACAAGAUCAGGAAGCUCAAGUUCAGAGGAGUCAAGUAAUAUGUCCAAAGUCCCUCAAGCAGUAAGAGCAGGGAACAAGGAUUUGAAUCCAGGUCCAUCUGACCCAAGACCUGUUCUUCAACACUAAACUAUUAGUGGACAAUGCAUCUUGAGAAAAUGUUUCUAAAUACAUUUAGCAUAGAAGGGAUGAUGGCAAAUGUAACCUCCUCACCUGCAAUUCCACAUCCAGGAAUAUACCCUACAUGUAUGCACAGAGAUUUAUAAUAUUGAAAAAUUUCAAUAUAUUACAUUUGUAUCCA